CCUACGGGAGGCAGCAGUGGGGAAUCUUGCGCAAUGGGCGAAAGCCUGACGCAGCCAUGCCGCGUGAAUGAUGAAGGUCUUAGGAUUGUAAAAUUCUUUUCACCGGGGACGAUAAUGACGGUACCCGGAGAAGAAGCCCCGGCUAACUUCGUGCCAGCAGCCGCGGUAAUACGAAGGGGGGCUAGCGUUGCUCGGAAUUACUGGGCGUAAAGGGAGCGUAGGCGGAUAGUUUAGUCAGAGGUGAAAGCCCAGGGCUCAACCUUGGAAUUGCCUUUGAUACUGGCUAUCUUGAGUAUGGGAGAGGUUAGCGGAACUCCGAGUGUAGAGGUGAAAUUCGUAGAUAUUCGGAAGAACACCAGUGGCGAAGGCGGCUAACUGGCCCAUUACUGACGCUGAGGCUCGAAAGCGUGGGGAGCAAACAGGAUUAGAUACCCUGGUAGUCCACGCCGUAAACGAUGAGUGCUAGUUGUCGGCAUGCAUGCAUGUCGGUGGACGCAGCUAACGACAUUAAGACACCUCCGCCGUGGGAGGUACGGUCGCGAGAUAAACUAACGAAGAAGUUAGAGNGUUGAGAGNGCGACGGCGACGACGAGGGAGGAGG
rnacentral:rRNA from 1 species